AUAUAAAAAUAUAACUAUAAAAUAAUGUUGCAGAAAACUGUUAAUAUAAUGAUUUAGCGCAGAGAGCAGUAAAAUAAACAUUUUAACCUUGAUAAACCUGAAAUAUUAAAUAAUUAUUUUAAUUUUUUUUUAAAGUGUGUCUUUAUUGAACUUCCUGACAUAUCUCAAAACUCAUACAUUAGGCGUUAUGGCUAAGUACGCUGCUACUGUUUGUGUCCAAGGUCACAGCUGCGCUUUAGAGCUCUGAAACUUUACACUACAGUAGAUCCAUUUAAAAAUUGGUUAUAUAGUCUUAAACAAGAUGUGAAAAUAGCUUUUGUUUGUCAGCAGAUGAAAGUGAAAUAAUUUGAUUGACUCAGCAGAUAUUCUUUGAGUGUUGUAGUAGCUGCAAUUCCAGGAGUGGGAAAGAGACUUUGCAGCAAAUUAAAAUGUAGUAGAUAUAAAGCCAGCUGUGUCAUUGCUUGAGUGGGUCCUCUCCAAGUCCUUUUGGUUUUGGUUUAAAAAUGUGACAUGAUAACAGCAAGCACAUGCUUUUAGUAUUGAGAUUCUGGGAUUCAUUUUAAAAAGAUCGUACAGGUAUAGGACAUGAUUCAUAAGACAUAUUUAAGAAUUUUUUAAAAAUAGCAAAAACCCAUUGUGUUAAAACACAUGGUACUAAAUUGCCAGACCACUGCCAGAGUAAGAAACAGCUUCUAUCUGACAGCUAUGACUGAACUGAACGCUGUCACCCUACUGUCCCCCAUGUGACAUUGCAGCUUUCGUAAUAAGAAGCUUUACAUUUACUUUUUAUAAUUCGCUUCACACUGGUCACAAGCAUUCUCUAUUCAUUCUGUGCGCUUUUUUCAGUUAUGUACCUUCUUUCUGUCAUGAAUUGCUGUGUGGCAGGCUGGAGACUGGACCCAAAUGCAGGACUCAUGGCAACAUUGGCAGCUUUAUCGAGGCUGUAAAAACUCUUAAUACCGAAAACAAAACUGAAAACGAUGAACUAGAAAUACCAACUUAAAUCUAAACAUUAAGACACUGGGAAACAGCACUGGGAACUACAAGGAGCACACAAGAAAAAAAACACAGCGUCCUGGGCGGACGACGAGACAACAAGCAGGGAAUGACAGAGGACUAAAAUACACAGCGGGGUAAUCAGUAAACGGUACACGGAAGGGAAACACAGUUGGGACUAAUUGGGCAGGAUGAGACCAGGGAGCAAAAGAGUAUACACUGACAUACAGUGGGGCAAAAAAGUAUUUAGUCAGCCACCGAUUGUGCAAGUUCCCCCACCUAAAAUGAUGACAGAGGUCAGUAAUUUGCACCAGAGGUACACUUCAACUGUGAGAGACAGAAUGUGAAAAAAAAAUCCAUGAAUCCACAUGGUAGGAUUUGUAAAGAAUUUAUUCGUAAAUCAGGGUGGAAAAUAAGUAUUUGGUCAAUAACAAAAAUACAACUCAAUACUUUGUAACAUAACCUUUGUUGGCAAUAACAGAGGUCAAACGUUUACUAUAGGUCUUUACCAGGUUUGCACACACAGUAGCUGGUAUUUUGGCCCAUUCCUCCAUGCAGAUCUUCUCGAGAGCAGUGAUGUUUUGGGGCUGUCGCCGAGCAACACGGACUUUCAACUCCUGCCACAGAGUUUCUAUGGGGUUGAGGUCUGGAGACUGGCUAGGCCACUCCAGGACUUUCAAAUGCUUCUUACGGAGCCACUCCUUUGUUGCCCGGGCGGUGUGUUUUGGAUCAUUGCCAUGUUGGAAGACCCAGCCUCGUUUCAUAUUCAAAGUUCUCACUGAUGGAAGGAGGUUUUGGCUCAAAAUCUCACGAUACAUGGCCCCAUUCAUUCUGUCCUUAACACGGAUCAGUCGUCCUGUCCCCUUGGCAGAAAAACAGCCCCAUAGCAUGAUGUUUCCACCCCCAUGCUUCACAGUAGGUAUGGUGUUCUUGGGAUGCAACUCAGUAUUUCAUAGUUAUUCUUGUACUAACCUUGUUUUCUCUACUCUCAGUAAUCCUUCAGACGUCUGUUUCCACACUGCCAUAAACUGCCUUGUUCAGUCACUGCUGCUCGCAGUUUCACCACUUUGCUCACCUGCCUACCUACCUGCCCUGUUCACUGACAACCACGGAUCUGUGUACUGGACUUCCUUCACUCCUCACCCGGAGCACCUACCCCUCUAUGCUUCGCCCGCACCUGCCAAAACGACUCUGAGAAUCCUGCUUUGUAAUUACCCUUUGCCCCGAACUACGGAGUUCCUGCACUGGAUGUUACCCAAUGUCGGGGUCCCAGGCUUCUGUCCUCACCAACCAAAGAGCUCAUUCAAAGGACUCUCUUACAGUUCACUUAGUGACUGCCUAGCUCAUGAGUCACAGUUCAGCACUCUUGUGACUCUCAUAGUGCUGUUCAAGUGCAUCAUAACUAUUAUUCUAGUAGAAUAGAAUUACUUUGCGCUGCGGGUUCAUAGUUUGCUUUAUUGUCUCUCGCUCUUAGUUCAUGGCUAACUCGCUAAGUGCUUGUUGCAUUUGUUUUUGCUUUUUGUCACAUAUUGCUCUCUGUAAUAAAAGUCACACAUACA
ensembl:lncRNA